rnacentral:lncRNA from 1 species
GACAAGCAGUGUACUACACCUGUGAUUUUGUUUUCACAUUAGGGAUAAUGCAUAAGGAAUUAAUCUUCAUAUAUAUCAUGAUCCCUGAUGCUUGGGAGAAAAGUAUUUAACUGCCCAUAUUAUGUAUUUUACUUAUAUUAUGCAAAGGGGGAAACUGCAAAGUAAUUGCACGUGUAAUCUUGGGGUUUUCACAUUCGUAGGUAUUCAUUGUGAGUAGGUUUAAGAAAAAAACACUUUAAGUGAAAUUGGAAUUUCCGAUGGGAUAGUAUAGAUGUUGUUUUUAUAUUUUUUAAAAAGCCAGUAUACUAAAAUUAAAAAAGGGUAGGGCUGUCUUUUAGUUUGUUUUUCUUUUACAAUUCUUAAUGUUCGGAAUUGAUGUGUUCUGUUAGCACCAGCUGUCUUGAUGCAUUUGUUAAGACCAGUUAGCAUUGAGGUGACAUGCGGGCUAAUAGUGGCAAACUAUAGAAGUAGUCUGAACAGACAUGACAGGAAAACAAUGUACCUAUCUCAUCUUGAGCAGUUUUAUAAAGUACAUGUUAUCAUCUCCAUUUUCCAAAUGAGGAAAUAAAUAGAGUUUAACAAAGUUACACAACUUAUCCGUUACGUACUGGUUAGUUCUUGAGCCAGACCUAGAGUCCUCCUCCGACUCUCCUCUUUUCACCAUGCAAUAUACAAGUAAUAAAAUAUUACACAAAUGAACUAUAAA